rnacentral:rRNA from 1 species
UACGAAGGGGGCUAGCGUUGCUCGGAAUCACUGGGCGUAAAGGGUGCGUAGGCGGGUCUUUAAGUCAGGGGUGAAAUCCUGGAGCUCAACUCCAGAACUGCCUUUGAUACUGAGGAUCUUGAGUUCGGGAGAGGUGAGUGGAACUGCGAGUGUAGAGGUGAAAUUCGUAGAUAUUCGCAAGAACACCAGUGGCGAAGGCGGCUCACUGGCCCGAUACUGACGCUGAGGCACGAAAGCGUAGGGAGCAAACAGGG